rnacentral:lncRNA from 1 species
ACCACUUCCAGCAUUAGUAGGGGUAUAACAUUAGAAAAGUCACAUAACCUUUUGAGCCUCAGUUUCCUAACUGGUGAAUAGGAGUGAUGGUUCCAUCCAGGUUGGGAAGAGUAUGGGAGAGCAUCCAGAAUGGACUACAGAAGCUGGCUGAGGACAGAUUUGUCAAGGAACAUUUGCAAAGAGGCUGACCGAUUCUCUAGAUUAAAAAUGGUAAAGCUAGUGAAAAUGAGGAAGAAAGAUUAUGGUAACCUGAAAUGAAAGCACUUCAUUAUUCAAAAUUUUCAAGGUUAAUUAUGCUAUAUAUUUUAUUUUCUGAAAAACACAGAUUAUUAGGGAGCCAUGUGCAAAAUGAAUGUGUUUAUAUAUAAAAAUAAUUUUAGAUCAGGAGGUGACAGAAACUGAUGUCCAGAUUCCAUUACCCUAAGACUUCAUGUAAUUACGUUGUCUUUUUAAAAAUCCUUAAAUGAUCAUUUUCUCCUUUGGCACAGAGUCUUUUGACUCCUCUUUUGAUGCCAACAUAGUCUCAUCAUGAAAAUAAAUUGAAAGUAGGUGGUCUGGUUAGUCUUCACAAUGCUACAUUUUAAUCAGGCAAAGCAGUGAAAAACAUGAUUGUCGAAAUGCUGGCGUGUCUUCAAACAACAGUGCAU